rnacentral:rRNA from 1 species
AUUGAACGCUGGCGGCAGGCCUAACACAUGCAAGUCGAACGAGUGGCGGACGGGUGCGUAAUGUCUGGGAAACUGCCUGAUGGAGCGGGAUAACUACUGGAAACGGUAGCUACUACCGCAUACCUUCAGAUGUGCCCAGGUGGGAUUAGCUUGGUGGUGGGGUAACGGCUCACCACGGCGACGAUCCGUAGCGGGUCUGAGAGGAUGAGCAGACACACAGGAACUGAGACACGGUCCAGACUCCUACGGGAGGGAGCAGUGGGGAAUAUUGCACAAUGGGCGCAAGCCUGAUACAGCCAUGCCGCGUGUAUGAAGAAGGCCUUCGGGUUGUAAAGUACUUUCAGCGGGGAGGCGUUACCCGCAGAAGAAGCACCGGCUAACUCCGUGCCAGCAGCCGCGGUAAUUC